GUACACUCCUACGGGAGGCAGCAGUGGGGAAUUUUGGACAAUGGGGGCAACCCUGAUCCAGCAAUGCCGCGUGAGUGAAGAAGGCCUUCGGGUUGUAAAGCUCUUUUGUCAGGGAAGAAACGGUGGUGGCGAAUAACUACUACUAAUGACGGUACCUGAAGAAUAAGCACAGGCUAACUACGUGCCAGCAGCCGCGGUAAUACGUAGGGUGCAAGCGUUAAUCGGAAUUACUGGGCGUAAAGCGUGCGCAGGCGGUUGUGUAAGUCAGAUGUGAAAUCCCCGGGCUCAACCUGGGAAUUGCAUUUGAGACUGCACGGCUAGAGUGUGUCAGAGGGGGGUAGAAUUCCACGUGUAGCAGUGAAAUGCGUAGAUAUGUGGAGGAAUACCGAUGGCGAAGGCAGCCCCCUGGGAUAACACUGACGCUCAUGCACGAAAGCGUGGGGAGCAAACAGGAUUAGAUACCCGGGUAGUCCCA
rnacentral:rRNA from 1 species